AUGCUGCGAGUGCUGUGCGGCGGAGGCGGGCGGUUCUUCCGUCCCGGCCUCUCGCUCGUUCCUCUCCGCCGGCCUCCGUGCCGCUGCCUCCCGCAGCGGCCGGCCCCCGCUGUCCCGCCCGCUGUCGGACGAUGGCUGCUCGCCUGCAGCGGCGCUGUGGCGGGUGCCGUAGUACUGGGCGGCGUCACCAGGCUGACAGAAUCCGGCCUAUCCAUGGUGGACUGGCACUUGGUGAAGGAAAUGAAACCCCCCGGGACGCAGCAGGAAUGGGAAGCGGAAUUCCAGAAGUACCAACAGUUCCCAGAGUUCAAAAUUCUGAAUCAUGACAUGACUCUGACAGAGUUCAAGUUCAUUUGGUACAUGGAGUACUCACACCGUAUGUGGGGCCGUGUGGUGGGCUUGGCCUACAUCCUUCCUGCUGCCUACUUCUGGAGGAAGGGCUGGCUCAGCCGCCCCAUGAAGGGCCGUGUGCUUGCGCUCUGUGGGCUUGUGUGCUUCCAGGGUCUACUGGGAUGGUACAUGGUAAAGAGUGGACUGGAAGAGAAGCCAGAUUCCUAUGAUAUUCCUCGGGUCAGCCAGUACCGCCUCGCAGCACACCUUGGCUCUGCACUGGUUCUUUAUUCUGCCAGUCUGUGGACAGGGCUGUCUUUGCUGCUUCCACGACACCAGUUGCCUGAGACACGUCAGCUGCUUCGGCUGAGGCACUUUGCUCAUGGCACAACAGCUCUCAUUUUUCUUACAGCUCUUUCAGGUGCCUUUGUGGCAGGGCUGGAUGCUGGCCUUGUGUACAAUUCCUUCCCCAAAAUGGGGGAACGCUGGAUCCCAGAUGAUCUUCUCGCCUUCUCCCCAACCCUGAGAAAUAUCUUUGAGAAUCCCACAACUGUACAGUUUGAUCACAGGAUCUUGGGAGUUGCCUCAGUCACAGCUGUCACAGCACUGUACUUCUUCUCACGGAAGAUCUCCCUCCCUCACAGGACCAGGAUGGCAGUGACAUCAUUACUGGCAGUGGCUUGGGUGCAGGUGUGCCUGGGCAUCAGCACGCUGCUGCUCUACGUCCCCACGCCGCUGGCUGCCACGCACCAGUCGGGCUCCCUGGCGCUGCUCAGCGCGGCGCUGUGGCUCAUGAGCGAGCUGCGGCGCGUGCCCAAGUGACCCGCGGGCCUCAGCUGCUCGACCUCCCGGCGGCAACGGUGCGCGGUCCGUUCCCGCCGUGUAACAUAAAGGAGUUUUAUGGAGCUGCCGGUGUGUGCGUGCUUGCGGAGCGAGGAGGCGGCAGGGCGGUCAGCGCGCCGCGCUCUCUACGCGGAUUGGCCGCCGCCCGCGGCAGUGGGCGGGACUUUAUCCCGAGCGGUGGGUGCGGGUGAGCGGCGG